rnacentral:tRNA from 1 species
GGUUCUGUAGUAUAGUGGAUAGUACAGCGUGUUGUGGCCGCGCAGACCCGUGUUCGAUUCACGGCAGAGCCA